UUACACAGCCGAUGGGUAAUGCAACUGCCUGCGACGCAGAAGGUUCCGGGUUCGAUUCUCGGUAGGUAAC